GACGAACGCUGGCGGCGUGCUUAACACAUGCAAGUCGAACGGAAAGGCCCCUUUGGGGGUACUCGAGUGGCGAACGGGUGAGUAACACGUGAGUAACCUGCCCUUGACUUCGGGAUAACUUCAGGAAACUGGGGCUAAUACCGGAUAGGAAUCCUUGCUGCAUGGUGGGGGUUGGAAAGCUUCGGCGGUUUUGGAUGGACUCGCGGCUUAUCAGCUUGUUGGUGGGGUAGUGGCUUACCAAGGCUUUGACGGGUAGCCGGCCUGAGAGGGCGACCGGCCACAUUGGGACUGAGGUACGGCCCAGACUCCUACGGGGGGCAGCAGUGGGGAAUAUUGCACAAUGGGCGGAAGCCGGAUGCAGCAACGCCGCGUGCGGGAUGACGGCCUUCGGGUUGGAAACCGCUUUCAGCAGGGGCGAAGCUUGUGGUGACGGUACCUGCAGAAGAAGCACCGGCUAACUACGUG
rnacentral:rRNA from 1 species